GCUCAACCGGGGAGGGUCAUUGGAAACUGGGGAACUUGAGUGCAGAAGAGGAGAGUGGAAUUCCACGUGUAGCGGUGAAAUGCGUAGAGAUGUGGAGGAACACCAGUGGCGAAGGCGACUCUCUGGUCUGUAACUGACGCUGAGGCGCGAAAGCGUGGGGAGCGAACAGGAUUAGAUACCCUGGUAGUCCACGCCGUAAACGAUGAGUGCUAAGUGUUAGAGGGUUUCCGCCCUUUAGUGCUGCAGCAAACGCAUUAAGCACUCCGCCUGGGGAGUACGGUCGCAAGACUGAAACUCAAAGGAAUUGACGGGGGCCCGCACAAGCGGUGGAGCAUGUGGUUUAAUUCGAAGCAACGCGAAGAACCUUACCAGGUCUUGACAUCCUCUGACAACCCUAGAGAUAGGGCUUCCCCUUCGGGGGCAGAGUGACAGGUGGUGCAUGGUUGUCGUCAGCUCGUGUCGUGAGAUGUUGGGUUAAGUCCCGCAACGAGCGCAACCCUUGAUCUUAGUUGCCAGCAUUCAGUUGGGCACUCUAAGGUGACUGCCGGUGACAAACCGGAGGAAGGCGGGGACGACGUCAGAUCAUCAUGCCCCUUAUGACCUGCGCUACACACGUGCUACAAUGGCGUAUACAACG
rnacentral:rRNA from 1 species